AAAUACUUUAGUGGAUUGUCACUUUCUUCCCAGGAGAUCUUCCUGACCCAGGGAUUGAAUCCACGUCUCCUGCAUUGCAAGUGGAUUCUUUAGUGAUGAACUGCUGGGAAGGUGAAUUGGGUGGUUCGAGAGCCACAGAUUGAAGCUGGUUUAAGGAGGUGGCCUGAUUUACUACACAUUCUGUUCUUGCUGGAAGACAAAAGCAACAAAGCCCUGCAAAAGCUCAAGGGAUGACGUCUACAGAAACAUGGAGCUCCUGAUGUUUCUGAAAACACAUGCUCCAGGACCCAAGCAUGAUUCUUUAACACAAUGACAAAAGGAGAAUUAUAACCAGUUGCUGUUUGUUGGUCAACAACUUGGUAAGCAGUGACUCAAGGAACAGACUGAUCCCAAAGUAAAAGCGAGUUGUAAACAAACAUAUGCAUGCGUGUGUGUGUGUCUGAAUACAGC
rnacentral:lncRNA from 1 species